GGCUCAGAUUGAACGCUGGCGGCAGGCCUAACACAUGCAAGUCGAGCGGAUGACGGGAGCUUGCUCCUUGAUUCAGCGGCGGACGGGUGAGUAAUGCCUAGGAAUCUGCCUGGUAGUGGGGGACAACGUUUCGAAAGGAACGCUAAUACCGCAUACGUCCUACGGGAGAAAGCAGGGGACCUUCGGGCCUUGCGCUAUCAGAUGAGCCUAGGUCGGAUUAGCUUGUUGGUGAGGUAAUGGCUCACCAAGGCGACGAUCCGUAACUGGUCUGAGAGGAUGAUCAGUCACACUGGAACUGAGACACGGUCCAGACUCCUACGGGAGGCAGCAGUGGGGAAUAUUGGACAAUGGGCGAAAGCCUGAUCCAGCCAUGCCGCGUGUGUGAAGAAGGUCUUCGGAUUGUAAAGCACUUUAAGUUGGGAGGAAGGGCAGUAAGUUAAUACCUUGCUGUUUUGACGUUACCGACAGAAUAAGCACCGGCUAACUCUGUGCCAGCAGCCGCGGUAAUACAGAGGGUGCAAGCGUUAAUCGGAAUUACUGGGCGUAAAGCGCGCGUAGGUGGUUUGUUAAGUUGGAUGUGAAAGCCCCGGGCUCAACCUGGGAACUGCAUCCAAAACUGGCAAGCUAGAGUACGGUAGAGGGUGGUGGAAUUUCCUGUGUAGCGGUGAAAUGCGUAGAUAUAGGAAGGAACACCAGUGGCGAAGGCGACCACCUGGACUGAUACUGACACUGAGGUGCGAAAGCGUGGGGAGCAAACAGGAUUAGAUACCCUGGUAGUCCACGCCGUAAACGAUGUCAACUAGCCGUUGGAAUCCUUGAGAUUUUAGUGGCGCAGCUAACGCAUUAAGUUGACCGCCUGGGGAGUACGGCCGCAAGGUUAAACUCAAAUGAAUUGACGGGGGCCCGCACAAGCGGUGGAGCAUGUGGUUUA
rnacentral:rRNA from 1 species